UCGGGAGCGCAGAGACAGGUGGUGCAUGGCUGUCGUCAGCUCGUGUCGUGAGAUGUUGGGUUAAGUCCCGCAACGAGCGCAACCCACGUCCUUAGUUGCCAGCAUUUAGUUGGGGACUCUAGGGAGACCGCCGGUGACAAACCGGAGGAAGGUGUGGAUGACGUCAAGUCAUCAUGCCCCUUACGUCUUGGGCUACACACGUACUACAAUGGUCGGGACAGAGGGCUGCAAGCUCGCGAGAGCAAGCUAAUCUCGUAAACCCGGCCUCAGUUCAGAUUGCAGGCUGCAACUCGNCUGCAUGAAGGANNNAUCGCUAGUAAUCGCAGGUCAGCAUACUGCGGUGAAUACGUUCCCGGGCCUUGUACACACCGCCCGUCACACCAUGGGAGUUGGUUUUGCCCGAAGUCAUUACCCUAANCGCAAGGAGGGGGAUGCCUAAGGCAGGGCUGAUGAGUGGGGUGAAGUCGUAACAAGGUAAC
rnacentral:rRNA from 1 species